GAUGCUGGUGAGUAAGCAGCUGUGAGCUCCAUGUGUUUGCAUGUGUAUGAGGCUGAACCAGGGUUCUUCUGAAGAAGCUUGAAGAUGAAAUUGCCGAGAAUUUUCGCCUGAAGCAAGGGAUGUUUCCCAUGUUUAAGACAAGCAGCAACCUGUAGUCAGAAGGAAGAAGGGACUGAAUUCACUCCAGAAGUAUUUCUCGGAGAUCUCUGUUUCCAGGCUUGGUUUGAAGAAAUACUACUGAAACAAGAACAGGGAGAUAGAAUAUAUGUAUUCCUUAAGCUGUGCCUGAACAACCAAUUCAUCACUGCCAAAAACUGUUUGCGGAGAGCCCAGAAAGCAGCAGAGAGCUCCUCGUCCCAGCUGUAGCCUUAUUUAAGGAGAAGGCAAGAUGGUGCUGGGAGGCUCUGCUAUCAGCGUGUCCUUUCCCCUGGAGCACGGAUCCGGGGCUCCUCCGUGCUGAGCGCACCCGUGUCCCAUCUGCUCCCACGCCCUGAAAUCAAACUCGGCAGCUCAGGUGAAGCAGGCACUGUGCAAACAUGUCAGGAGUGCCUCCACCCCUUUUCCUUCUCCCGCUCUCUCCCGCCGUCCUUCUCUCCCAAGUUUAUCGGCGCCUCAGCGGACUGCGGUGGCACAGAGCUCCCACCUCACCCCUGGGUCUGGAGCAAUGAGGAGCCGUGGGGAUGGUUCUGGAAGGCGAGCAAACCCAGGAGCUGGAUUCCUUUGGGAAGGAGUUCUCUUCAUCUUUACUCCCAUAGCCCAGCAACACCAUCCUCCAAUCGGCUUUGCUGCAUGGCAGUGGGAGAGUUUCCCUGCAGACCCUUCUUUCUCCUCUCAUUCGGAAUUGUCCUCUCCCGGCACUGUUGGACUGCCAGACGUUAAUGCCUUGAUGUGUUUGGGGACAGAGUACUGAAGAAAAGGCAAACAACAGAAGAGAAGUUUAUGGCUGGUGAGUGAGAGCUCCGUGGGCCUUUGGGGGUGUUGGCUGAGUCCUCCUCUGCUUUUCUAAGUGUUAAGGUAAAAUCUGAGCAGCUGAGCCCCUGUAGAGCUCCUGGGAAUGCUGCUGUAUGGCUCUGUCUCAAACCCCAUCCCUUUGAACAGCCUCAUUCUUGACGGCGUGAUGAAGCUGCAUAUUGAUUUCCAUAUUCUGUGCCUUGAUCUGCAUGUCCUGUCUGCAAAGUGCGAGCGAUGGCUUAUGUACCCAGUAACAAAGACAGCUGAUCAAAUAAGGAAAACAGCUAUCAGCAAGUAGUUUGCUGGGUUAGUAACUGUGCUUCAAGAUGGACAGCCUGUACCCCAUGCAGGGGUUGUUUUCGCCUAGAUGGUGCACAUGUGGUGUAUGUACGUACCUGGAAAGGAUAUCCUGGGUACUUGGUCAAGGCUGGUCUGUUAUGAUUUAAAUUUCUUUAUCAGCCAGUGUUGUUUAAUAGCAGCAGUGAGUAGCAAAGCAUUGAGUCAGCCAGGCUGCGGGGCUUAAGCUGCGCUCUCCUCCCCAUGCGUUGGGACUCCGUGCCUGAGCUGCAGUUUGCUCAUCAGUCAUCCCAUGGGCUAUAGACCACAUGGCAUGGAGGAGCACAGGCAGAAGAAGCACAGGACGUGGCACCCAGCGUUCCAGCGUGCUGUGCCUGAUGUGGCCUGCUCCCCAGAUGCAGCCUGAUGCCUUGGCUCCUUCCUUUGCCACGUGACCCAGUAGGCCAGAUGGGGCCCCUUUCCCUUGUCCCAACAUAACCUCCUGUCUGACACGUGAGAUGUUAUUUUUCAUCUGAGUUUUUGCAGACAGAGCUCGAAAUGUUGAUAUUCUAAUCUUGGUAACAUCUUUAUGCUGACUUUGAGUGGAGGCUGAAGCUCCAUAGCUACAUCCUGCUUUCUGCAAGAGCUUUUAUAUACGUUCCAGAAGGAGUUUGGUCUGGUAUGGCUAAAACACACCUAGAAGCGUGGCACCGAGCAGCAUCCAAGCAACCUUCAUAGAUAGGCAUUCCCUGUAUUUUAGGCUUCGGUCCUCAUUUGCGAGCAAGGAAAUGGAGCAGGGGAGAAAGAGACAGCACCAUAGGCUUCCUGACCCCAUUCAGUGGUGCAAAAACUGUCGAGCAGUUGUGUUCCUUUUCCUCGUUUGUCUGAAAUAAACCAGGCAAUAUAAC
rnacentral:lncRNA from 7 species